rnacentral:rRNA from 1 species
UACAGAGGGGGCAAGCGUUGUUCGGAAUUACUGGGCGUAAAGGGCGCGUAGGCGGCCCGCUAAGUCGAACGUGAAAUCCCCAGGCUUAACCUGGGAACUGCAUCCGAUACUGGAUGGCUUGAAUCCGGGAGAGGGAUGCGGAAUUCCAGGUGUAGCGGUGAAAUGCGUAGAUAUCUGGAGGAACACCGGUGGCGAAGGCGGCAUCCUGGACCGGCAUUGACGCUGAGGAGCGAAAGCCAGGGGAGCAAACGGG